GGAAGAGCUGAGGUGAGUAACAGCAGACGUUUAUUAAUCAGAUCAGUGAGAGUCGUCACUGUAUUUCUCUUCACCUUUAAACGGAGCUGAGCAGAACCAGCAUCGUGAUAAACAGUGAAGUUAAACCCUGUGAUCUGAUCAAUACUAUCAGAUAUUCCUGAUCACUGAGCUCAUCGCUGUGCUGCGUCCUGUGAAGUUAAACCCUGUGAUCUGAUCAAUACUAUCAGAUAUUCCUGAUCACUGAGCUCAUCGCUGUGCUGCGUCCUGUGAAGUUAAACCCUGUGAUCUGAUCAAUACUAUCAGAUAUUCCUGAUCACUGAGCUCAUCGCUGCGCUGCGUCCAGUGAAGUUAAACCCUGUGAUCUGAUCAAUACUAUCAGAUAUUCCUGAUCACUGAGCUCAUCGCUGCGCUGCGUCCAGUGAAGUUAAACCCUGUGAUCUGAUCAAUACUAUCAGAUAUUCCUGAUCACUGAGCUCAUCGCUGCGCUGCGUACAGUGAAGUUAAACCCUGUGAUCUGAUCAAUACUAUCAGAUAUUCCUGAUCACUGAGCUCAUCGCUGUGCUGCGUACAGUGAAGUUAAACCCUGUGAUCUGAUCAAUACUAUCAGAUAUUCCUGAUCACUGAGCUCAUCGCUGCGCUGCGUCCAGUGAAGUUAAACCCUGUGAUCUGAUCAAUACUAUCAGAUAUUCCUGAUCACUGAGCUCAUCGCUGCGCUGCGUCCAGUGAAGUUAAACCCUGUGAUCUGAUCAAUACUAUCAGAUAUUCCUGAUCACUGAGCUCAUCGCUGCGCUGCGUCGUAUUUAACGCUCAGUUUCCUCAUCAGGUUCCUGAAUAAACUCUGAGUGGAGAACAGCGUUUCAGCAGCAGCUGAUCUCACUGCAUAUUUCACACUCCACUGACUCUCUGACUCACUCUGAGUCACUCUGACUCUCUUUAAGUCACUCUGACUCACUCACAAUCCAGCAGAAAGGAUGGCUGGAUUCUUUGGGCGAUGGAAGUCUUCAUUCACACUUCCCCCCAGAGAAACAGUGAAUUACUCAGACAUUGUGGUGGGAAAUGCACUGAAGUCUGAUCAGGACUUCGUAAGUCGUCUGCGUGAGACGUCCCCCGGUCUGGUGAGGACGUCAGUGGAGGACAGUGACGUUAUUCUGGUUUUCUGUCUGAUUGUUUCUCGAGCUGGACCUGAUAUUGAAGCAGCGCUGCAGAGACUUGAAGCUGCAUCAGGUACUCAGGUUUUUGGCAUAUUUUGAUUAGUGAUUUUUAAUUUCUAUGUUGAAAGUUUCUUAUAAUGUCCAGUCGUCAACUUUUACACCCUUUUAGACUUCAUGCCACA
ensembl:lncRNA